rnacentral:sRNA from 1 species
GUUCGGUGGAAACGAGAAUAAAACGUGAAGGAUAACGUUGCGUCAGCAACGGCCCGUAGGGCGAGGCAAAGCCGAGUCAUCCUGCACGACCCACCA